rnacentral:rRNA from 1 species
ACGGCUCAGUAACACGUAGCUAACCUACCCUAUAGCCCGUAAUAACCUCGGGAAACUGAGGCUAAUGACGGAUAAAAAAUCUCUUCUGCAAUGAUUGAUUUUUGAAAGCUCGCGAUAGGAUGGGGCUGCGGCUGAUUAGGUAGUUGGCGGGGUAAAUGCCCACCAAGCCUAUGAUCAGUAAGGGCUCUUAGCGGAGAAGCCCUGAGAGGGAGUCUGAGACACUACUCCCAGCCCUACGGGGUGCAGCAGUUAGGAAAAUUUUGCAAUGCGCGUAAGCGUGACAAAGCAAUCCAGAGUGCUUCUCUAUAAUUGAGAAGCUUUUGCGAGAUGUAAAAAGUCUCGUGAAUAAGGACUGGGCAAGACUGGUGCCAGCCGCCGCGGUAAUCCCAGCAGUCCGAGUCGCAGCCACAUUUGUUGGGUCUAAAACAUCCGUAGCUUGCUAUGUAAGUCUUUUGUCAAAUCGGGCCUCUCAAGGGUCCGGCGAGCAAGAGAUACUGCGUAGCUAGAAACCGGGAGACGUAAAGAGUACCAUAGGAGUAGCGGUUAAAUGCGUUGAUCCUUAUGGGACUAACAAUAGCGAAGGCACUUUACGAUAACGGAUUUGACAGUGAGGGAUGAAGGCUAGGGGCGCAAAGUGGAUUAGAUACCCAUGUAGUCCUAGCAGUAAACACUGCACACUAAACAUUAGUGCCUCUUCGAGAGGCAUUAGUGCUGUAGGGAAGCCGGAGAGUGUGCU